GGAGUGGGAGGGACAAAGAAAAAUGAAGGAAAAAGUGGGGAAAAUUAGAAAUAGACAAUUUCCCACGAAUAAUUUCUUGCAAAAAAUUCUCCAGAUUCUCUUCAAAUCUUCAGAAACCCUAGAUGUUGUUUGCUUUCCCAUUGUUCUGAAUCAUCUUGCAUAAGAAGUCUCCCUUGUCUUGGAUUGGAUCCUAGCCGACGGAUAAUUACUUUCUUUGAUAAUUUCCCGAAAAUCGAGCUCAAUCCAAAUUUGGCUACAGCGAUUUUAGAAGAUACAGAGCUUUUCCCCGUCCUAAAGCACCGACAGUGGGACAGUUUGAGCGGGAAAAGAGAGAAUGAAGACGGGUUCGAAGUCGGAAGGACCUUCGACUCCAGCGCUUCGACGGGACCCGUAUGAGGUUUUAAGCGUAACCAGGGAUUCCACUGAUCAGGAAAUCAAGUCUGCUUAUAGGAAGCUUGCUCUUAAAUAUCACCCAGACAAGAAUGGCAGUAAUCCGGAAGCUUCAGAACUUUUUAAGGAGGUCGCAUAUUCUUAUAGCAUCCUAUCUGAUCCAGAGAAGAGAAGGCAAUAUGACAGUGCUGGCUUUGAGGCCCUUGAUGCUAGUGGCAUGGAUAUGGAAAUAGACUUAUCCAAUCUUGGAACUGUCAACACCAUGUUUGCAGCUUUGUUCAGCAAGCUGGGUGUUCCUAUUAAGACUACAAUUUCUGCUAAUGUUCUUGAAGAAGCUUUGAAUGGAACUGUUACAGUCAGGCCUCUUCCUAUCGGAACAUCAGUUAGUGGCAAGGUGGAUAAGCAAUGUGCUCACUUUUUUGGGGUGACAAUUAAUGAGGAGCAAGCUCAGGCAGGAAUUGUUAUAAGGGUUACUUCAACUGCACAAAGUAAAUUCAAGUUGCUCUUUUUUGAACAAGAUAUCAAUGGUGGUUAUAGUUUGGCCUUACAGGAAGAUAGCGAGAAGUCUGGGAAAGUAACGUCUGCUGGGUUGUACUUUUUGCAUUUUCAAGUGUACAGGAUGGAUUCCACUGUCAAUGCGUUGGCAAUGGCUAAGGAUCCUGAGGCUGCUUUCUUCAAGAGGUUGGAAGGUCUUCAGCCUUGUGAGGUCUCAGAGUUAAAGGCUGGCACCCAUAUUUUUGCUGUUUAUGGAGAUAACUUUUUUAAGACUGCUGCAUAUACUAUUGAGGCACUAUGUACAAAAAAUUAUGAAGAGACAACAGAAAAGCUGAAAGAUAUUGAGGCUCAAAUUUUGAGAAAAAGAAAUGAGCUACGGCAAUUUGAGACAGAGUACCGGAAGGCUUUAGCACGCUUCCAGGAAGUCACCAACAGAUACAAUGAGGAAAAGCAGGCUGUGGACGAGCUUCUUAAACAACGGGAUGGCAUACAUGCUUCAUUCACCAUCAUGAAAUCAUCAAAUCACAUUGGGGCUGGUGCUACGAGUAAUGGAAGUAGUAGUAAAUCUACCGUCGAUGACUCAAAGGUUGAGAAUCAAGGAGGAGAAGAUGGAACCUCAGAUGAAAAAGAUAAAUCUUUUAAAAAGAGAUGGUUCAAUAUUCCCCGAGGAUCCGACAAAAAGCUUGGUUGAAAGAAUCAUCCGCUGAGGUUUAUUUUCUCUCUUCCCAAACGCAACAAAUAGAAACUUGCAACCACUUUGUCUUGUAGAAUUUAAUGGUCAAAUUGGUGCAUCCAUGCUUGUAAUACUUGGGUCUCUGUUUUGGUGUAUGCUUUCCAGGGUUUCAACAAAAUUUGCCAUUCUUUCUCCCAUCAGAGUUGAGGGAAGUAAAUUGGAAAUCAACUCGAGGUUAUUGAAUAAACUAGGUGGUUUGGAAGUUUCAAGGCUUAAAAUGGAACAAUCUCGGUAAGUUUAAAUACAAAAAUAUGAUCAUAUAUGUAAUACUAGACAUGUUAGAGAUUGGUUUUAAAAUGUGAUAUCGAUGUUAUGUUCUCUUCCCAUACCUAUCGAGAUGAUGGUAAGGGUAAAAAAACAGAGUUGGUUGGGUUUAGUUUUGGCACAAAGAAAAGAAAGAAAAAAAAAAAAAAAAAAGAAGUAUAACAGAAAAGAAAAGAAAACUAAGGAUUGAUCCGACUCAAUACUUAGAGCUAAUAAAAAUGUUCGUUUUCCUUGUAUUCUAUAAAGAAAA